rnacentral:rRNA from 1 species
AGAGUUUGAUCAUGGCUCAGAUUGAACGCUGGCGGAAUGCUUUACACAUGCAAGUCGAACGGCAGCACGGGGGUGACCCUGGUGGCGAGUGGCGAACGGGUGAGUAAUACAUCGGAACGUGCCCAGUCGUGGGGGAUAACUACGCGAAAGCGUAGCUAAUACCGCAUACGAUCUAUGGAUGAAAGCGGGGGACCGCAAGGCCUCGCGCGAUUGGAGCGGCCGAUGGCAGAUUAGGUAGUUGGUGGGGUAAAGGCCUACCAAGCCGACGAUCUGUAGCUGGUCUGAGAGGACGAUCAGCCACACUGGAACUGAGACACGGUCCAGACUCCUACGGGAGGCAGCAGUGGGGAAUUUUGGACAAUGGGGGCAACCCUGAUCCAGCCAUGCCGCGUGAGUGAAGAAGGCCUUCGGGUUGUAAAGCUCUUUCGGCGGGGACGAAACGGUUCGU